GGUGCUGCUGUGGGGCCCAGCAGCCGUGGAGCAUCACAAGACAUGCCGGAGCCUGGGCAGGUCACUGUGGCAGCAGCCGAGUGUCGGGGACAUCCUUCGCCUGCUGGACCGGGACCAGAUGAUGCAGACCAUCCUGCACUUCCCCCAGAACCGGAGGCUGCUGCCCCCCGAGGACACACAGGAGCUGAUAUUCAAAGACAAAAGCAGGGUGGAUCUUGAUGGCCUCUAUGACCCCUGCUUUCUCCUUCAGCUCUUCAGUGAGCUGACCAGGCCAGGUAACUGCAGUCUUCUCUUGGGUCAGGGCUUGCUAUGCAUGGCUUCUCAGAGGUCAGGUCGAUUAUGGUAAUUAUUGCCAUAAUUACCACAUGAGGACCUGAAUCUUGGAAAUAAUUCUUAAAGGAUCUUCAGCCAUCCUCUCAUCUGUUCAUUCCAGUGAUUUUCAGCAAAGUCACAGUUAGUAUUUUGAACAUACAGUGAUUUU
rnacentral:sRNA from 1 species